rnacentral:rRNA from 1 species
AUAGCGUAUAUUAAAGUUGUUGCGGUUAAAAAGCUCGUAGUUGAAUCUGUGUCCCACGCUGUCGGUUCGCCGCUCGCGGUGUUUAACUGGCAUGAUUGUGGGACGUCCUACCGGUGGGCUUAGCCUCUCGGGGCGGCCCAACUAAUAUCCCAUCGCGGUGCUCUUCACUGAGUGUCGAGGUGGGCCGGUACGUUUACUUUGAACAAAUUAGAGUGCUUAAAGCAGGCUAUUUUCGCCUGAAUACUGUGUGCAUGGAAUAAUGGAAUAGGACCUCGGUUCUAUUUUGUUGGUUUUCGGAACCCCGAGGUAAUGAUUAAUAGGGACAGAUGGGGGCAUUCGUAUUGCGACGUUAGAGGUGAAAUUCUUGGAUCGUCGCAAGACGGACAGAAGCGAAAGCAUUUGCCAAAAAUGUUUUCUUUAAUCAAGAACGAAAGUUAGAGGUUCGAAGGCGAUCAGAUACCGCCCUAGUUCUAACCAUAAACGAUGCCAGCUAGCGAUCCGCCGAAGUUCCUCCGAUGACUCGGCGGGCAGCUUCCGGGAAACCAAAGCUUUUGGGUUCCGGGGGAAGUAUGGUUGCAAAGCUGAAACUUAAAGGAAUUGACGGAAGGGCACCACCAGGAGUGGAGCCUGCGGCUUAAUUUGACUCAACACGGGAAACCUCACCAGGCCCGGACACCGGAAGGAUUGACAGAUUGAGAGCUCUUUCUUGAUUCGGUGGGUGGUGGUGCAUGGCCGUUCUUAGUUGGUGGAGCGAUUUGUCUGGUUAAU